rnacentral:RNase_P_RNA from 1 species
AUUUUCGGGUGAUCGCGGUUUGCUAUACGCAAGCUGAGGAAAGUCCAUGCUCGCACAGACUGAGAUGUCUGUAGUGUUCGUGCUUAGCGAAAAAAUAAGCUAAGGUACUUCUUAGGAAGUAACGGCAGAAAAAAGGGCUAAGGAGCAAUCUAUGCCUAAGUAUUCUUGAAAGUGCCACAGUGACGAAGCAUUUUGAGAAAUCAAAAUGGUGGAACGCGGUAAACCCCUCGAGCGAGCAACCCAAACUAUGGUAGGGGCGCUUUUUCUAAGGAAAUGAACGAUGAAAGAGACGACAUUAUGUCGGAGAUAGAUGAUUACCACGACGAUUACACUUCCCUGAGUUAAUCGCCGUACAAAACAUGGCUUACAGAA